CCUUCUAAAGUGAUUUCGUUCUAGGUUUUCCAAUUCUCCAUUUCAUUUUCUCUUUCACCCAAAAACUUUCAUAACCCUAACCUUUAUCAUCAUCAUCGUUCUCCAACGCCUAGAUUUGCGACUUCAACCCAAGGUUCACAAUUUCAAAGCUCUGCAUUCACGAUUGUGAUUUGCGUUUCAAGCUUCCUUCGCCAAGAACACUAAGAAGAAGCGAAACAACUCCUCAGAUGUGUUCUUAAUCUUGGCAUCUCUGCUCUUCGUUCCAAUGCUUUUGCCAUUGAUGUCGUUGAGCUAAUCGUAUGUAUAAACUAUUCAUAUUUAUUUUCAUAAUUUUUAAGCAUCAAGAUGUAAAAAUAGAGAAAAAAACAAAACAAUAAAUACAAAAUGUUUUUACAAAGAUGAUGUUCAUGAAAUUAUAAACGAAGCAGUCAACCCAAAAUGGAAGGAAAUAAUGCACAAAGAUGAUGUUUUUACAAAGGUUUUGUUUUUAAGCAUAAAGAUGAGAUAAAAAAAGAAGAAAUGAAGAACACAAUGAACAUGCACUCAACAAAAUAUGUUUCAGUAUACAAUAUCAAAAGACAUGAUUUUUUUCAAAAUCAAAAUAGUGAAGAAAUCAUAUAGGUUUCGUUUUUAAGCAUGAAGAUGAGAUAAAAAUUAGAAGAAAUGAACAUGCACUCAAAAAUAUAUUUUUCAGAGAUACUCUUAUCAACAAACAUGAUUUUUUUCAACAUCAAAAUAGUGAAGAAAUCAUACAGGUUUCAUUUUUAAAAAAGUUUCGUUUUUAAACAUGAAGAUAAGAUAAAAAAAAUAGAAGAAAUGAAGAACAUAAUAAACAUGCACUCAAAAAAAUAUGUUUCAAAGAUACCCUUGAUCAAAAUACAUGAUUUUUUUCAACAUUAAAAAAGUGAAGAAAUCAUAAAGGUUUUGUUUUUAACAGAAGAGAAGAUGGAAAUGUUACCUUAAAACUGGUUGACGGGGAAGGAAGAUAUUUGUUAUAUAAAAGAAAGGAAGAUUGAAGAUGAUGGUUUUAUUUGGAUGUGGAGAGAUGAGAAGAAGGGAAGAUGGGAGAUGAUGGGUGGGUUUAUGUGAAUGUGUGGAGUGGUGAGAGAAUUGAUGAAAUGAGAGAAAGUGAAAAUUAUUAUGUGGCAGAUGGAAUUGAAGCAG
rnacentral:lncRNA from 1 species